UUGCCGUACUUACGGUAAAUUUCCUUUUGAUAAGGUAAUUUUAAUUAAUUUAUGUACAAUUGAUCAGUAAAUAUACAAUAAAGAAUGUAAUAUUUCCAUCAAAUUGGUAAAUUUACCUUGGCCAGUUGUAAAUAAAGAGCAACGUUGUGAAUUCGCAUCGAAACCAGUAUAUUUACAACGUGUAUGUAAUUUUUUCUGCUUGCGUGCGCAUAUUCGGUUAAAGUGACGCAUUAUUACUUGUGUUGUCUGGACAAACGUGUGGUCUCCUCGUGUACAGGAUGCAUUUAUUCAAAGUAUGGGACCAAACACGUACAAAGAAGGGACUAAUCUUAAUAAAAGAACCUGGAAAUGUUUACGUUGAUUUAAUAUUAAAAGCAUCUCAAAAACUUGAAAUUAAUGGCGCGACUGUUGUACUAGAAUCAGAUGGAACACCAGUUGAGGAAGAGGAAAUAUUAAUUGCUGUAAAACAUGAAACUUUAAUUUUGUUAGAACCGGGUCAAGUUUGGUUGUCGUCUCAAUCCCAGUGUGAAAUAAGUGAAUCAUCCAGUGGUCUCAAUAAUCAUUCUUUCAUGUCACUGACUUCAACAGAGACUAUUGCUUCCACUAAAAGUAACGAAUGUAUCAGUGGUGCAACGGAAUUUUUGAAUAAUGACUCGUCUUCUUUGGAUUGCACCAUACAAGCAUCUAAUUGCAAUUUAGAAUUUUCCUGGACCAAUUUUGUAAUACCUUGGGAGAAAAUUCCACAAGAUAUGCUCCAAUGUUGUGCCCAAGGCAAACGGGACAAAUAUGCUAUUACUGAAAUUGUCCACAUUGUUGUAAACGAAAUGAA